rnacentral:lncRNA from 10 species
GAAAGGAUUUCUUCCGACAGACGUGACCCCAGAAGGCUGCCGAGGGAGACUUUAGGACAAGAGGCGUUGUUUUUUUAGGGAAGGAAGAGGAGCCUGUGCAGAGUUGAACUGGGGUGGAGAGGUGCCUUGUAAAGUAUGGUUUCCAGAGAUGGUGAGACCUCGUAGCUAAGCGUUGUUUCCUCUGCACGUAACUUUUCAGCGUGGCCGCAUUUGGAAAAGGCUGAAGGUAGAAAACUCUGGAAUGGAGAGGCUGGCGACUGGAGCAGGAUCCAGGGGCUUUAAAUUUUAACCUGAAUGCGAUCGAAUGCGCGACUCCCAGAAGAGAUAGCCAGGCGUCCGCCCGGCCGCUCAACCCCCGCCAGGACUCGGAAUGCCUUGCUUUUGGUUCUUUUCGUGAGUUCCGACCAAAUGUUUAAGUGGACUGGGUUUUGCAGAAGCUCAUUUGUAAGCACUGACGGAAAUGGGUUGUGGGCAUUUGAUUUCCUUUGAUUCCAACGUUUUGAAAUAAUGUUUCUCGGAUUUGCUAUUCGAAGCAAUUUUCUAAAAACUCAUAUCUUAUUUGCUAAAAAUAAACUCUUUGGCUCA